rnacentral:tRNA from 1 species
GCCUGGGUAGCUCAGUGGUUGAGCGUCUGCCUUUCGGCUCAGGCGUGAUCUGGGGGUCCUGGGAUUGAGUCCCACCUCAGGCU